AGCUCCAAUAGCGUAUAUUAAAGUUGUUGCAGUUAAAAAGCUCGUAGUUGGAUUUUGGGUUGUACUUUUAGUUCGGUCUACUAUAUGUAGUACUGUCUAGGUCUCCCUUCUUCUCGAGGCCUCUGGGUUCACUUAACCGUGCGUUCAGAGUGUUCGGGACUUUUACCGUGAGAAAAUUAGAGUGUUCAAAGCAGGCUUUUGCUUGAAUAUUGCAGCAUGGAAUAAUGGAAUAGGAUCAUGAUCUUAUUUUGUUGGUUUCUAAGAUCAAGAUAAUGAUUAAUAGGGAUAGUUGGGGGCAUUAAUAUUUAGUUGUCAGAGGUGAAAUUCUUAGAUUUACAAAAGAUUAACUUCUGCGAAAGCAUUUGCCAAGGAUGUUUUCGUUAAUCAAGAACGAAAGUAG
rnacentral:rRNA from 1 species